rnacentral:lncRNA from 1 species
CUUGGCUCCUCCGGCAUCUCCUGCCUAUUGUUGGAACUCGGCCUGGCCGCAAACAUGCUUAUUAUCCUCUGUGUCUGGACAGCAUUCCUUUGUCUUCUGGCUGAUUCUAGAGCAACUGAGGAUGUCGAUCCACAUUCUCACAUAGGUCUGCUCUUCCUUCAUUCCCACCUCCACUAUUGUUUCAAGUCCACAGUCCCCGUAAUGCCCAGAGGCAUCCUGUGUCCUACAGAGAUGGCAGGGACAAGAAAGCAAUGACAGCCUGUGCCGGGUUUUUUCAAACUGUGAAAAGGACACAUGGGCCACGUCAAAUUCAAAUAAUGUGAAAAGGAGAGAGAGGGUGCCCGUUCUGGACUGCAGCCUGGGCCCCCCCAAGGGCAGCAGCGGGAAAGCAGUGAGAUUUAGCUGGCCGAUCUUUGUCCAUGCCUGGGUUAUAGACUAAUCAAAAUAAAUAAAUCGAUACACACAUGAACACUUCUUUAAAACAAAAAUGCGAUUACGCAUAAAGUCACGCAAUUUACUACUCAGGGUCCCCCUUCCUUCUCA